rnacentral:rRNA from 1 species
ACGCUGGCGGCAGGCCUAACACAUGCAAGUCGAACGGUAACAGGAAGCAGCUUGCUGCUUUGCUGACGAGUGGCGGACGGGUGAGUAAUGUCUGGGAAACUGCCUGAUGGAGGGGGAUAACUACUGGAAACGGUGGCUAAUACCGCAUAACGUCGCAAGACCAAAGAGGGGGACCUUCGGGCCUCUUGCCAUCAGAUGUGCCCAGAUGGGAUUAGCUUGUUGGUGAGGUAACGGCUCACCAAGGCGACGAUCCCUAGCUGGUCUGAGAGGAUGACCAGCCACACUGGAACUGAGACACGGUCCAGACUCCUACGGGAGGCAGCAGUGGGGAAUAUUGCACAAUGGGCGCAAGCCUGAUGCAGCCAUGCCGCGUGUAUGAAGAAGGCCUUCGGGUUGUAAAGUACUUUCAGCGGGGAGGAAGGUGUUGUGGUUAAUAACCGCAGCAAUUGACGUUACCCGCAGAAGAAGCACCGGCUAACUCCGUGCCAGCAGCCGCGGUAAUACGGAGGGUGCAAGCGUUAAUCGGAAUUACUGGGCGUAAAGCGCACGCAGGCGGUCUGUCAAGUCGGAUGUGAAAUCCCCGGGCUCAACCUGGGAACUGCAUUCGAAACUGGCAGGCUUGAGUCUUGUAGAGGGGGGUAGAAUUCCAGGUGUAGCGGUGAAAUGCGUAGAGAUCUGGAGGAAUACCGGUGGCGAAGGCGGCCCCCUGGACAAAGACUGACGCUCAGGUGCGAAAGCGUGGGGAGCAAACAGGAUUAGAUACCCUGGUAGUCCACGCCGUAAACGAUGUCUACUUGGAGGUUGUGCCCUUGAGGCGUGGCUUCCGGAGCUAACGCGUUAAGUAGACCGCCUGGGGAGUACGGCCGCAAGGUUAAAACUCAAAUGAAUUGACGGGGGCCCGCACAAGCGGUGGAGCAUGUGGUUUAAUUCGAUGCAACGCGAAGAACCUUACCUGGUCUUGACAUCCACAGAACUUUCCAGAGAUGGAUUGGUGCCUUCGGGAACUGUGAGACAGGUGCUGCAUGGCUGUCGUCAGCUCGUGUUGUGAAAUGUUGGGUUAAGUCCCGCAACGAGCGCAACCCUUAUCCUUUGUUGCCAGCGGUCCGGCCGGGAACUCAAAGGAGACUGCCAGUGAUAAACUGGAGGAAGGUGGGGAUGACGUCAAGUCAUCAUGGCCCUUACGACCAGGGCUACACACGUGCUACAAUGGCGCAUACAAAGAGAAGCGACCUCGCGAGAGUAAGCGGACCUCAUAAAGUGCGUCGUAGUCCGGAUUGGAGUCUGCAACUCGACUCCAUGAAGUCGGAAUCGCUAGUAAUCGUGGAUCAGAAUGCCACGGUGAAUACGUUCCCGGGCCUUGUACACACCGCCCGUCACACCAUGGGAGUGGGUUGCAAAAGAAGUAGGUAGCUUAACCUUCGGGGGGGCGCUUACCACUUUGUGAUUCAUGACUGGGGUGAAGUCGUAACAAGGUAACCGUAGGGGAACCUGCGGUU